UGGGAAUUUUGGACAAUGGGCGAAAGCCUGAUCCAGCAAUGCCGCGUGUGUGAAGAAGGCCUUCGGGUUGUAAAGCACUUUUGUCCGGAAAGAAAUCCUUGGCUCUAAUACAGUCGGGGGAUGACGGUACCGGAAGAAUAAGCACCGGCUAACUACGUGCCAGCAGCCGCGGUAAUACGUAGGGUGCAAGCGUUAAUCGGAAUUACUGGGCGUAAAGCGUGCGCAGGCGGUUUGCUAAGACCGAUGUGAAAUCCCCGGGCUCAACCUGGGAACUGCAUUGGUGACUGGCAGGCUAGAGUAUGGCAGAGGGGGGUAGAAUUCCACGUGUAGCAGUGAAAUGCGUAGAGAUGUGGAGGAAUACCGAUGGCGAAGGCAGCCCCCUGGGCCAAUACUGACGCUCAUGCACGAAAAGCGUGGGGGAGCAAAACAGGAUUAGAUACCCUGGUAGUCCACGCCCUAAAACGAUGUCAACUAGUUGUUGGGGAUUCAUUUCCUAGUAACGUAGCUAACGCGUGAAGUUGACCGCCUGGGGAGUACGGUCGCAAGAUUAAAACUCAAGUGAAUUGACGGGGUCAUAGCUGUUUCCU
rnacentral:rRNA from 1 species